GCAGCUGCUAUCCCGACGAGGCCCGUACCGGAACCAAUCUCCAGGAUUUUGAGCUUAUCACCACCGCCGUUCUUAACGGCGACCGCGAGUGUAGAAGAGAGGGGGCUUUUUGCCGGAUCGCUUACGUGGCGGUCGAGGAGAUUGACGAAUGUUGUGGCGGCCGGCCAUAGCUUGAAGGAAAGACCUUCAGACGGAAGCUGACGGAUUUUCAACGUUGACUUUGCAGAAUGGAGGUAAUGCUGCUCGAUUUCUAACUUGCCGGAGUCUCCUAAAUCCUGUAGGGUGAAUUCAGUUUCUAAUUCGUCUGCGACUUCAUCAGCUGGCGGAAGAAGGAUUUUGGUUGGGUCUAGUUUUUCAAUGUCGUCUUCUUCGUCGUCCUGUUGCAGCGGAGUGAGGUUGGCCAUGCGCCGCCGUCGGAAAUCGGAGCUUUGCCUUCCUUGGUAGGUUUCGGCGUGCUGCUAGGUCUUCCGGUUUGAAGGGCGCUAUGAUAAAUGGUAGGUGGGCCUUGUUUUGCACUGAAUUGCUGACCGGCCCAAACUAUCCAUCCGUAAAUCGGGAAAAAAGUGUGGCCCAAUAGUUACUACACUUAUUUGUCAAUUAAAGAGAAAAAAGACAGUAAUUAAUUAAUUAUUGUAGUAUCCUAAAAAUAAAUGUAAUUAAUUGCUGUACUAUCCGAAAAAUAAAGUUGUAGGGGUUGCUGGAUAUUCAAGAGAGGAGGGAGUGAAAUUUUGCCGAAAAGAGUGAAUAUAAUCGACUGCCGCCCA
rnacentral:lncRNA from 1 species